GUAGGGGGCGAGCGUUGUCCGGAUUUAUUGGGCGUAAAGAGCUCGUAGGCGGCUCAGCAAGUCGGCCGUGAAAACCUGAGGCUCAACCUCAGGACGCCGGUCGAAACUGCUGUGGCUAGGGUCCGGUAGAGGAGAGUGGAACUCCCGGUGUAGCGGUGAAAUGCGCAGAUAUCGGGAGGAACACCAGUAGCGAAGGCGGCUCUCUGGGCCGGCACCGACGCUGAGGAGCGAAAGCUAGGGGAGCAAACAGGGAUUAGAUACCCUGGUAGUCCUAGCCGUAAACGUUGGGCACUAGGUGUGGCGGAUUCAUUGACAUCUGCCGUGCCGAAGCUAACGCAUUAAGUGCCCCCGCCUGGGAGUACGGUCGCAAGGCUA
rnacentral:rRNA from 1 species